AGCAGCCUACAUGCAGUCGAGCGGUAACAGAGAGUAGCUUGCUACUUUGCUGACGAGCGGCGGACGGGUGAGUAAUGCUUGGGAACAUGCCUUGAGGUGGGGGACAACAGUUGGAAACGACUGCUAAUACCGCAUAAUGUCUACGGACCAAAGGGGGCUUCGGCUCUCGCCUUUAGAUUGGCCCAAGUGGGAUUAGCUAGUUGGUGAGGUAAUGGCUCACCAAGGCGACGAUCCCUAGCUGGUUUGAGAGGAUGAUCAGCCACACUGGGACUGAGACACGGCCCAGACUCCUACGGGAGGCAGCAGUGGGGAAUAUUGCACAAUGGGCGCAAGCCUGAUGCAGCCAUGCCGCGUGUGUGAAGAAGGCCUUCNGGUUGUAAAGCACUUUCAGUCANGAGGAAAGGUUAANGGUUAAUACCCGUUAGCUGUGACGUUACUGACANAAGAAGCACCGGCUAACUCCGUGCCAGCAGCCGCGGUAAUACGGAGGGUGCNAGCGUUAAUCGGA
rnacentral:rRNA from 1 species